UACAGAGGUCUCAAGCGUUGUUCGGAAUCACUGGGCGUAAAGGGUGCGUAGGCGGCGGGGAAAGUCAGAUGUGAAAUCCGGAGGCUCAACCUCCGAAUUGCAUCCGAUACUCCCUCGCUAGAGAUUUGUAGGGGAGCUUGGAAUUCUCGGUGUAGCAGUGAAAUGCGUAGAUAUCGAGAAGAACGCUCGCGGCGAAAGCGAGGCUCUGGGCAAAUUCUGACGCUGAUGCACGAAGGCUAGGGGAGCAAACGGG
rnacentral:rRNA from 1 species